GGUGGUGUGGCUUAGUGGUAGAGCCCUUGCCUAGCAAGCACGAGGCCCUGGGUUCAAUCUCUAGCACUGCAA
rnacentral:tRNA from 1 species